AUUGAACGCUGGCGGCAGGCCUAACACAUGCAAGUCGAGCGGUAGAGAGGUGCUUGCAUCUCUUGAGAGCGGCGGACGGGUGAGUAAUGCCUAGGAAUCUGCCCUAGUGGUGGGGGAUAACGUUCGGAAACGGACGCUAAUACCGCAUACGUCCUACGGGAGAAAGCAGGGGACCUUCGGGCCUUGCGCUAUCAGAUGAGCCUAGGUCGGAUUAGCUAGUUGGUGAGGUAAUGGCUCACCAAGGCGACGAUCCGUAACUGGUCUGAGAGGAUGAUCAGUCACACUGGAACUGAGACACGGUCCAGACUCCUACGGGAGGCAGCAGUGAGGAAUUUUCUGCAAUGGGCGAAAGCCUGACAGAGCAAUACCGCGUGAGGGAAGAAGGCUUACUGAGUUGUAAACCUCUGUUACCUAAGGAGGAAGAUCUGACGUUACUUAAGGAGACGAAGCAUCGGCUAAC
rnacentral:rRNA from 1 species